GGACUGCAGCCUGNAACCCGGCUGCACGAAGCCGGAAUCGCUAGUAAUCGCAGAUCAGCAUGCUGCGGUGAAUACGUUCCCGGGUCUUGUACACACCGCCCGUCACACCAUGGGAGUCGGAAAUGCCCGAAGUCAGUGGCCCAACCGCAAGGAGGGAGCUGCCGAAGGUGGGACCGAUAACUGGGGCGAAGUCGUAACAAGGUAGC
rnacentral:rRNA from 1 species